UACAGAGGUCCCAAGCGUUGUUCGGAUUCACUGGGCGUAAAGGGUGCGUAGGCGGUCGGGUAAGUCUGAUGUGAAAUCUCACAGCUUAAUUGUGAAACUGCAUUGGAUACUAUCCGGCUCGAGGAAUGGAGGGGAGACUGGAAUACUUGGUGUAGCAGUGAAAUGCGUAGAUAUCAAGUGGAACACCAGCGGCGAAGGCGAGUCUCUGGACAUUUCCUGACGCUGAGGCACGAAAGCCAGGGGAGCAAACGGG
rnacentral:rRNA from 1 species